rnacentral:lncRNA from 13 species
CUAUCCCACAAACUCCCACUUCAAUUAGAGCUAUAGAUGGGCUUUGUUUUACCUCCAACCAAUCUCUCUUGUGGGACAAAGAAAUAGGAUCUUCAGGAUCCUUCCAAUGCACACAAGAGUGAAGCAGACCAUUCCCUCACAAGAAAGUGGAAGGAAAGAGAAAUAGUGGUCCUUUAGUCGUAUAGUCCCCUCUACUAACAAGGAUGCUCACAUGUGGAAAUCCCAAUAAUUAAGAUGACUCCUUGGGUGCCAUCCUUGACUGACUUGUUUUCCAGUCCAGUGUCCCUCUACUUACUGGCCCUUUCUAAUGGCUGGAUGUCAUUGCCCACAGGUUCACGGCAUGACCGAUUACUUUAAUUUAAAUUCCUCCAUGCUUUCUCCUAUCCUGAGCCCAUGCCUCUUGGUAUCUUUCCUGGAGCCAAGGGCUUGACUUCAGAUCUCUCACACCCCAAGAAUGUGCCUUGACAAACAGCCUGCCAUGGAGACUGAGCAGCCUGUUUUCACUGGAAAUUCCAGAUUGGCAAGACUUAGCUGCCUAAUGAGGAAGAAUCCCUUCAUCUUAAAUCUCUGGAAGCUUCUACUGUCUGGAAAAAAGGCUUUUGUGAGAAAUCGUAUAAUUCUUAAUUCAUUUUUAUCACUACUUUAUCUUAAUCAGAAAAAGAAAACAUGAAGGAAGUUUAAAGACAUUUACUUAAGCUUCUUUUAUACAAGUAAAUGAGGGAUUUUCUUGAAAAUUAUGUUCACCAAAACUGAGAGUUUGAGGAUUAUUUAAUAGCAAAAUCAAGAUAAACAAUAGCGCAAUUCUGAAUAUACCUAGUGUCUAUUUCUGAGUGUUGAGCUGUUCCAUCAACAUUAGAAUUUCAGCAUUUGAAGAAUUAUGGACUGCAAAAUUUAGCAACCACUCCAACCAAGCUGAAAUGUCACAUUAGCAAGGAAAUGAAAAUCUUAAAAUAAAGCCAGGCCGUAUCUAUCCACUUGCUUUAAAGCAAAUUUUGCGCAUGUGUUAACAAAGUAGACAGCGCCUUCAGAAUAAAAAUCCUUGUGAGUACUGGAUGUGUAACAGGAAGGAUUUUUUUUUUUUUUUUUUUAAUGUUCAGUGGAGAAAAUAGAAAGAUUUGUCCACACUGGUGCUAAAAAUACAGAAUAAUUAUCAUCUGAGGUAGGUGCACUUCUGACUUAAGCAUACAUGCACACCAUGUAUUUUCAAGCCCUCGUUGUUAGAAUAAACAGAUGAAUUUUUCCUCA